UACGUAGGAGGCGAGCGUUGUCCGGAAUCAUUGGGCGUAAAGCGCGUGUAGGCGGCUCGAUAAGUCCGCUCUGAAAGCCCGGGGCUCAACCCCGGGAGGCGGGCGGAAACUGUCGGGCUAGAGUCCGGAAGAGGCGAGUGGAAUUCCCGGUGUAGCGGUGAAAUGCGCAGAUAUCGGGAGGAACACCAAUGGCGAAGGCAGCUCGCUGGGACGUGACUGACGCUGAGACGCGAAAGCGUGGGGAGCAAACAGG
rnacentral:rRNA from 1 species